AAGUCCAAAAAAAAAAAAAUUACAGGUGUUUCAUCGGAUACGGUCAUACGGAUUACAGAAUAACGACAAACACUAGGCUGAUAACUUCCCAUCUCAGUUCUCGCCACUAUUUUAUUUUUCCAGCUCUUGCUUUUGGACACUCACUUUUUUACUCAAAAAGCCCUAGCUUUAAAAAUAUCACCGAUGAUCACACUUUCCAAUAACCCUACCCUAAACCCAGUACCAAUGCCUCAGGACGACGAUGAAGACCCUCGAAACGGCGCCGUAGAGGCAAACGACCACGCCCACCAAAGCCCCUUAAAGAAGCCCAGACUGACCCGACCCAUUUCUGAACCCGACAUUCUGCAAGAGUUCUCCCACCACCAACAGGGCUUUGCCAGAAUUAACAACGGCAGCUUUGGGAGCUGCCCGCGGUCAGUUCUCUCUGCCCAGAACACGUGGCAUCUCCGAUUCCUGCAGCAACCCGAUGAAUUUUUCUUCAACUCGCUCCGAAAGGGGAUCCUCGAGUCACGCGCCGCCGUGAAGGCUUUAAUCAACGCCGACGACGUCGAUGACGUGUCACUCGUCGACAAUGCUACAACCGCCGCCGCUAUCGUCCUCCAGCAGGUCGGCCGCCAGUUCGCUGACGGAAGCUUCCGCAAGAACGACGCCGUCAUCAUGUUCCACUGCGCGUUCCCGGCGGUGAAGAAAUCCAUCGGCGCAUACAUCGGCCCCGCUGGUGGCUCCGUCGUGGAGGUUCGGCUUCCCUUUCCAGUUCGCAGCGAUGAGGAGAUUAUUGCGGAGUUCAAGAAGGGGCUUGAGCGAGGUAAGAUUAAUGGCGGAAGGGUUAGGUUUGCGAUGAUUGAUCACAUAACUUCGAUGCCUUCGGUUGUUCUUCCCGUUCGAGAAUUGAUUAGGGUUUGCAGGGAGGAAGGUGUGGACCAGGUCUUCGUGGAUGGCGCCCACUCCAUAGGGAGCGUGCCUGUCGACGUGAAGGAAAUUGAUGCUGAUUUCUACGUGAGCAAUUUGUAUAAAUGGUUCUUUGCACCGCCUGCUGUGGCUUUCUUGCACUGCAAGAAUUCGAAAGGUUUGGUGGAUUUGCACCACCCAGUCGUGUCUCAAGAGUAUGGGAAAGGGUUGGCGUUAGAGAGCUCCUGGGUUGGGAACAGAGACUAUACUCCCCAGCUCGUGGUGCCGUCGAUUUUGGAGUUUGUGAACCGGUUCGAAGGUGGUAUUAAGGGGAUCAUGAAGAGGAACCAUGAUGGGGUUGUGAAGAUGGGGACUAUGCUGGCUGAAUCAUGGGGAACAAUGCUGGGGUCGCCGCCAGAGAUGUGCGCAAGCAUGAUAAUGGUUGGAUUGCCGUCUAGGCUAUGUGUGACGAGUGAUGAUGAUGCCAUGAGUUUAAGGACGCACCUGAGGGUGUAUCACAGGAUUGAGGUUCCUACAUAUUACCAGGCUUUGAGGAAUGAAGAUAGGGAUCCCAAGGACAAGGACGGGUUUAUAACUGGUUAUGUUAGGAUAUCUCGUCAAAUUUAUAACACAGAUGAGGAUUAUCAUAGGCUUAAGAAUGCAAUUAAUCAGAUUUUGGAGGAUGGGAAAAUUUGCAGCAUGCUUCCUGUUGAGUGAUCCAAAAAGAGCGAAUAGUAACUGGCCAUAGGGUUUGUAAGGUGACGCCCUCCAGCUACAUAUUUGAACACAACGGUACUGACUUCCAUUCUCGACAGUCUUUGGUAGUUGAUGGCAUCGUCGUCUCAAUGGAAAGAAGGGUUGCUGUGCAUGAAGAUAUCCCUGCGGGCUUGCGUCUCGCCGACAAAGCAGAAUUGUACGACGGAGCAGACCAUGGAGUUGGAUCAGUCGAGGGUGAAGGCUUGUAGGGAUGGAGUCAGACGAGUAUGAGUUACACGAAGAUGAAACAGAACACGACUAUCUUGGAGAGACCGAUGGCGACAAUGGAGAUGGGGUUGAAUUGGAAGACAAUUUGGACGGUAUCGGAGGAAUGUAUGACAAUUUUGCGGAUGAUGACUUACACGCUGAUAAUUCUGGCGAAUUGCUAGGUUCAAUUGAUUUUGUGAACCUGAGUAGGGUGGAAGUCGCUUUAAUUUCGCAGAUGUUAACAUUGCAUUUGACUUCUACCAGGCAUAUGCAAAGCACCAUGGUUUUAGCAGGAGACAUUACAGGAGCAAAAAAUGUAGCGAAGUAAGGAUAAUAUAGGAAUUUGUGUGCCACCGAGAAGAAUUCAGAUUGCUGAAAUUCUACUCAAUUCCUAACCGGCAAAAGAGGCCAAGGGCCGAGACACGGUGUGGAUGCCAUGCAAGGAUGCAUGUUCGCAUGGACGAUGAAUCAGGAUGUUGG